GGAAUGAGUAAUCUGAUUGUGACUUUUGUUGCCCCACUGAUUACUGGUGUUAAUUCAGGGGUCUAGCUCACUAGACAAGUAUCUCUUUCCUCCCUUUGCUCCAUGUUUAUGUCUCCCUUGAGCAACAUGCUUGGCCAAGAGGUUGACCUUCCCUGCUAAAGGAAGACCAUUCUUCAAUCAAGGUGAAUUCGCUGUGUUCCCCAGCUACCCAGCUAUCCGUGCAGUCAAGCUCUCGAAUAUAGUAGUUGGAGGUUUUAGAAUAUCUGUGUUCACAAACUGGGUAGGGGAGUAGUGAGAUUGCUCAGUGGGUUGAAGUGCUUGCCAAGCAAGCCCAAGUUGAAUC
rnacentral:snRNA from 1 species